AAUUAUAUUUAAUUACAAGUGUGCCCCUGGUAGUCUUUAACUGAAGGGCACUGACUGGGUCACUGGUGAAGUUCCCCGCAGGAACUGAGUCAGACCCCAUCUCAGGGCCCUGCACAAGAUAGGUGCCUGCUCUAAGGCGUGGACCCUCGCCACAGCCCUGGCCCGUCUUGACGGGCGAGGGUUACUGUACUUGUCCCAACCGUACAGAUGAGAAAGCUGAGACUCAGGGCCAGCAACCCGGGUCCCAGCGGAGCGCCCGGCACACGCCGACACUUCAGCACCAGUGGCGGUGGCCACCACUGUGGGCGGAGAUGGCUGCGACGCGUGCGCAGAUCUCGAUCCCAAACUCCCUCCUGCCAGAAUCUGGACCCGAAUCCACCCAUUGCCCGUUUUCCGCUGCCGCUGGAGAGAAUCUCUGAGGUCCCCAGGAGAGCCUGCCUGCACGGAAGAGACGCCUCCUCGUGUCUUAGAAGUCAUGAAAAUUUCAGAAAAUGACAGGUCUUCUGAGUUCGUGAUGGGAGUUGGGCAGCAGUCGCAUACGAGCACCUGGAGAGUCCUUGCCAGUUCUUUGGGGAUGGGGAGCUCUUAAGACUGCCCUGAGACCGCCCUUUGACCUCAUUGUGGUCCUUUCUAGAUUAAAUGCUGUUUUCCAUGACCGUCUCUGUUCUUCCCAUACGGGAAUGGCAGGCAUUCAGAUCUCCAAGAAUAGAGGAUUAGGAGAGACUCCACCACCUAUGUCCUCACAGUUAAUUAUCGAUUUGUGUCAGUUGCCCAUUUUCUCACUUCCUGUUUGUGUGUCAAGGGGUAUUAAUAAAUCUUUGCCUAUUUAAAGAUAU
rnacentral:lncRNA from 10 species